rnacentral:rRNA from 1 species
AGAGUUUGAUCCUGGCUCAGGACGAACGCUGGCGGCGUGCCUAAUACAUGCAAGUCGAGCGGACAGGUGGGAGCUUGCUCCCUGAUGUUAGCGGCGGACGGGUGAGUAACACGUGGGUAACCUGCCUGUAAGACUGGGAUAACUCCGGGAAACCGGGGCUAAUACCGGAUGGUUGUUUGAACCGCAUGGUUCAAACAUAAAAGGUGGCUUCGGCUACCACUUACAGAUGGACCCGCGGCGCAUUAGCUAGUUGGUGAGGUAACGGCUCACCAAGGCAACGAUGCGUAGCCGACCUGAGAGGGUGAUCGGCCACACUGGGACUGAGACACGGCCCAGACUCCUACGGGAGGCAGCAGUAGGGAAUCUUCCGCAAUGGACGAAAGUCUGACGGAGCAACGCCGCGUGAGUGAUGAAGGUUUUCGGAUCGUAAAGCUCUGUUGUUAGGGAAGAACAAGUACCGUUCGAACAGGGCGGUACCUUGACGGUACCUAACCAGAAAGCCACGGCUAACUACGUGCCAGCAGCCGCGGUAAUACGUAGGUGGCAAGCGUUUUCCGGAAUUAUUGGGCGUAAAGGGCUCGCAGGCGGUUUCUUAAGUCUGAUGUGAAAGCCCCCGGCUCAACCGGGGAGGGUCAUUGGAAACUGGGGAACUUGAGUGCAGAAGAGGAGAGUGGAAUUCCACGUGUAGCGGUGAAAUGCGUAGAGAUGUGGAGGAACACCAGUGGCGAAGGCGACUCUCUGGUCUGUAACUGACGCUGAGGAGCGAAAGCGUGGGGAGCGAACAGGAUUAGAUACCCUGGUAGUCCACGCCGUAAACGAUGAGUGCUAAGUGUUAGGGGGUUUCCGCCCCUUAGUGCUGCAGCUAACGCAUUAAGCACUCCGCCUGGGGAGUACGGUCGCAAGACUGAAACUCAAAGGAAUUGACGGGGGCCCGCACAAGCGGUGGAGUAUGUGGUUUAAUUCGAAGCAACGCGAAGAACCUUACCAGGUCUUGACAUCCUCUGACAAUCCUAGAGAUAGGACGUCCCCUUCGGGGGCAGAGUGACAGGUGGUGCAUGGUUGUCGUCAGCUCGUGUCGUGAGAUGUUGGGUUAAGUCCCGCAACGAGCGCAACCCUUGAUCUUAGUUGCCAGCAUUCAGUUGGGCACUCUAAGGUGACUGCCGGUGACAAACCGGAGGAAGGUGGGGAUGACGUCAAAUCAUCAUGCCCCUUAUGACCUGGGCUACACACGUGCUACAAUGGACAGAACAAAGGGCAGCGAAACCGCGAGGUUAAGCCAAUCCCACAAAUCUGUUCUCAGUUCGGAUCGCAGUCUGCAACUCGACUGCGUGAAGCUGGAAUCGCUAGUAAUCGCGGAUCAGCAUGCCGCGGUGAAUACGUUCCCGGGCCUUGUACACACCGCCCGUCACACCACGAGAGUUUGUAACACCCGAAGUCGGUGAGGUAACCUUUUAGGAGCCAGCCGCCGAAGGUGGGACAGAUGAUUGGGGUGAAGUCGUAACAGGGU